rnacentral:rRNA from 1 species
AUACGAAGUCGGACCUGCCCAGUGAGUUUUAAACGGCCGCGGUACUCUGACCGUGCAAAGGUAGCAUAAUCAUUUGCCUUAUAAUUGAAGGCUGGAAUGAAUGGUUUGACAAGAAUACAGCUGUCUCUUUUAGAUUACUUAGAAUUUUAUCUUUGGAUGAAAAAGUCCAGAUAUAAUUAAAAGACAAGAAGACCCUAUCGAGCUUUAGGGAAGUU